rnacentral:rRNA from 1 species
AACGAACGCUGGCGGCAGGCUUAACACAUGCAAGUCGAACGCCCCGCAAGGGGAGUGGCAGACGGGUGAGUAACGCGUGGGAAUCUACCCAGUUCUACGGAACAACACAGGGAAACUUGUGCUAAUACCGUAUACGCCCCAAGGGGGAAAGAUUUAUCGGAAUUGGAUGAGCCCGCGUUGGAUUAGCUAGUUGGUGAGGUAAUGGCUCACCAAGGCGACGAUCCAUAGCUGGUCUGAGAGGAUGAUCAGCCACACUGGGACUGAGACACGGCCCAGACUCCUACGGGAGGCAGCAGUGGGGAAUAUUGGACAAUGGGCGCAAGCCUGAUCCAGCCAUGCCGCGUGAGUGAUGAAGGCCUUAGGGUUGUAAAGCUCUUUCAGUGGGAAGAUAAUGACGGUACCCACAGAAGAAGCCCCGGCUAACUUCGUG